rnacentral:misc_RNA from 1 species
UCCGGUUUGUCACCGGCAGUCUCCUUAGAGUGCCCAACUGAAUGCUGGCAACUAAGGACAAUGGUUGCGCUCGUUGCGGGACUUAACCCAACAUCUCACGACACGAGCUGACGACAACCAUGCACCACCUGUCACUCUGUCCCCCGAAGGGGAAAGUCCUAUCUCUAGGAUUGUCAGAGGAUGUCAAGGGUAGGUAAGGUUCUUCGCGUUGCAUCGAAUUAAACCACAUGCUCCACCGCUUGUGCGGGCCCCCGUCAAUUCCUUUGAGUUUCAGCCUUGCGGCCGUACUCCCCAGGCGGGGUACUUACUGCGUUAGCGACGGCACCGAGGGGGUCGCUCCCCCCGACGCCUAGUACCCAUCGUUUACGGCGUGGACUAC